rnacentral:rRNA from 1 species
GCCUGGUAGCGGGGGAUAACUAUUGGAAACGAUAGCUAAUACCGCAUAAGAGUAGAUGUUGCAUGACAUUUGCUUAAAAGGUGCAAUUGCAUCACUACCAGAUGGACCUGCGUUGUAUUAGCUAGUUGGUGGGGUAACGGCUCACCAAGGCGACGAUACAUAGCCGACCUGAGAGGGUGAUCGGCCACACUGGGACUGAGGCACGGCCCAG